rnacentral:rRNA from 1 species
AAAUCCACGGAUAUAAUGCUGGGGUGUGACGGGGAGCGAAAUUUAGUAGCGAAGCAUCUGCAUUCACACUGUCGAGAAAAGUCUCUAUCGAGUUUAAAGGCGCCCGUACCGCAAACCGACACAGGUGGGUGAGGAGAGUAUCCUAAGGCNNCAAGGAACUCGGCACAAUGGCCCCGUAACUUCGGGAGAAGGGGUGCCCGCGCGUACGUGAACGGACUUGCUCCGGGAGCGGAGGCGGGCCGCAGAGAAUAGGCCCAAGCGACUGUUUACCAAAAACACAGGUUUCUGCUAAGUCGCAAGACGAUGUAUAGGAGCUGACGCCUGCCCGGUGCUGGAAGGUUAAGGGGAUCUGUUAGAGCAAUCGAAGCAGUGAAC